GAUGAACGCUGGCGGCGUGCCUAAUACAUGCAAGUCGAGCGAACUGAUUAGAAGCUUGCUUCUAUGACGUUAGCGGCGGACGGGUGAGUAACACGUGGGCAACCUGCCUGUAAGACUGGGAUAACUUCGGGAAACCGAAGCUAAUACCGGAUAGGAUCUUCUCCUUCAUGGGAGAUGAUUGAAAGAUGGUUUCGGCUAUCACUUACAGAUGGGCCCGCGGUGCAUUAGCUAGUUGGUGAGGUAACGGCUCACCAAGGCAACGAUGCAUAGCCGACCUGAGCGGGUGAUCGGCCACACUGAGACUGAGACACGGCCCAGACUCCUACGGGAGGCAGCAGUAGGGAAUCUUCCGCAAUGGACGAAAGUCUGACGGAGCAACGCCGCGUGAGUGAUGAAGGCUUUCGGGUCGUAAAACUCUGUUGUUAGGGAAGAAUAAGUACAAGAGUAACUGCUUGUACCUUGACGGUACCUAACCAGAAAGCCACGGCUAACUACGUGCCAGCCGCCGCAGUAA
rnacentral:rRNA from 1 species